rnacentral:rRNA from 1 species
AGAGUUUGAUCCUGGCUCAGGAUGAACGCUGGCGGCGUGCCUAACACAUGCAAGUCGAACGGAGUUCUUAAGGAAUGCGACUUCGGUCAAAUGACUUUUGAACUUAGUGGCGGACGGGUGAGUAACGCGUGAGCAACCUGCCUUUCAGAGGGGGAUAACAUUUGGAAACAGAUGCUAAUACCGCAUAAGAUUACAGUACCGCAUGAUACAGUGAUCAAAGGAGCAAUCCGCUGAAAGAUGGGCUCGCGUCCGAUUAGAUAGUUGGUGAGGUAACGGCUCACCAAGUCGACGAUCGGUAGCCGGACUGAGAGGUUGAACGGCCACAUUGGGACUGAGACACGGCCCAGACUCCUACGGGAGGCAGCAGUGGGGAAUAUUGCACAAUGGGCGAAAGCCUGAUGCAGCAACGCCGCGUGAGGGAAGACGGUUUUCGGAUUGUAAACCUCUGUUUUCGGUGACGAAUAAAUGACGGUAACCGAGUAGGAAGCCACGGCUAACUACGUGCCAGCAGCCGCGGUAAUACGUAGGUGGCAAGCGUUAUCCGGAAUUACUGGGUGUAAAGGGAGCGCAGGCGGGAUAGCAAGUCAGCUGUGAAAACUAUGGGCUCAACCCAUAAACUGCAGUUGAAACUGUUAUUCUUGAGUGGAGUAGAGGCAAGCGGAAUUCCGAGUGUAGCGGUGAAAAGGGGUAGAUAUUCGGAGGAACACCAGUGGCGAAGGCGGCUUGCUGGGCUCUAACUGACGCUGAGGCUCGAAAGUGUGGGGAGCAAACAGGAUUAGAUACCCUGGUAGUCCACACUGUAAACGAUGAUUGCUAGGUGUGGGGGGUCUGACCCCCUCCGUGCCGGAGUUAACGCAAUAAGCAAUCCACCUGGGGAGUACGGCAGCGAGGUUGAAACUCAAAUGAAUUGACGG